rnacentral:rRNA from 1 species
UACAGGGGGGGCAAGCGUUGUUCGGAAUUACUGGGCGUAAAGGGCUCGUAGGCGGCCAACUAAGUCAGACGUGAAAUCCCUCGGCUUAACCGGGGAACUGCGUCUGAUACUGGAUGGCUUGAGAUUGGGAGAGGGAUGCGGAAUUCCAGGUGUAGCGGUGAAAUGCGUAGAUAUCUGGAGGAACACCGGUGGCGAAGGCGGCAUCCUGGACCAACACUGACGCUGAGUGAGCGAAAGCCAGGGGAGCAAACGGG